rnacentral:rRNA from 1 species
UACGGAGGGGGCAAGCGUUGUUCGGAAUUAUUGGGCGUAAAGGGCAUGUAGGCGGUUCGGUAAGUUAAAGGUGAAAUGCCAGGGCUUAACCCUGGAGCUGCUUUUAAUACUGCCAGACUCGAGUCCGGGAGAGGAUAGCGGAAUUCCUAGUGUAGAGGUGAAAUUCGUAGAUAUUAGGAGGAACACCAGUGGCGAAGGCGGCUAUCUGGUCCGGUACUGACGCUGAGGUGCGAAAGCG